rnacentral:rRNA from 1 species
GCAAGUCGAGCGGGCGAGGUUGCUUCGGUAACUGAGCUAGCGGCGGACGGGUGAGUAUGCUUAGGAAUCUGCCUAUUAGGUGGGGGACAACAUUCCGAAAAGGGAUGCUAAUACCGCAUACGUCCUACGGGAGAAAGCGAGGGGCUCUUUAUGACCUUGCGCUAAUAGAUGAGCCUAAGUCGGAUUAGCUAGUUGGUGGGGUAAAGGCCUACCAAGGCGACGAUCUGUAGCGGGUCUGAGAGGAUGAUCCGCCACACUGGGACUGAGACACGGCCCAGACUCCUACGGGAGGCAGCAGUGGGGAAUAUUGGACAAUGGGGGAACCCUGAUCCAGCCAUGCCGCGUGUGUGAAGAAGGCCUUUUGGUUGUAAAGCACUUUAAGUGGGGAGGAGGCUUACCUGGUUAAUACCUGGGCUAAGUGGACGUUACCCACAGAAUAAGCACCGGCUAACUCUGUG